GCAUCCCAGUAGGAAGCGGGCCUGUGAAGCCUCCCAACAGGAAGUAGGCACGUGAAGCCUCCCAACAGGAGGUGGGUGUGUGAGGCCUCCCAACAGGAAGUGGGCAUGUGAGGCCUCCCAACAGGAAGUGGCAUGUGAGGCCUUCCAACAGGAAGUGGGCGUGUGAAGCCUCCCAACAGCACCUGCGACCUGGAGGCCAUCAGCACAGGGUCACCAGCCACAUGGAAGUGGAUGAGGAGGAGAGGGAGAAGAAAGGAUGUUGAAAAUGCUCAGUGGCAUUACGGGAGCAUUUCUGCAGAUGUGUUUCCAGUCUGGAGUUUUUAGUGGGAUUUCAUGAGGUGCAUCUGCUGAGAAAUGCUGGCGAUGAAGUUACCAUCACCGUUGAGUAUCUCAGGGAAGCGCCGGCAUUUCUGAAGCUCCCGUUAGGGUCCCCAGGGCCAUCCAGCGACCACAGCAGUGGGGCCUCCUCUCCCCUCUUUGACAGCGGUUUGCAUCUGAACGGAAACUCCAGUACCACAGCCCCAUCGUCACCUUCCUCGCCCAUAGCUAAGGACCCGAGGUAUGAGAAGCGCUGGCUGGACACCUUGUCCGUGCCUCUGUCCAUGGCUCGCAUCUCAAGGUACAAAGCCGGAACGGAAAAAUUAAGUCCUCAUGGGUCAGGAGUCCGGCAGCUCCCGGCUGGUCCUCUGCUUGGGAUCUCACCAGGCUGAAACCAAGGUGUCGGCUGGGCUGUGUUCCCAUCUUCAAGGCUCACUCAGGGUUGCUGGCAGAAUUCAGUCCCUUGACUUUAUAGGACUCAGUUCCCCACCUUUGUCAGCCAAGGGCUGCUCUCCACCACCAGAGACCACCAUGUUCAUUGACAUGGUCACCCUCUGCCCUCAAGCCAGCAGCAGGCACUCACCUUAUUUCAGAAGAAGAAGGCAGAUGGGCUCUAUAGUAGUCAUAAUGGAAACAGACCUACUACAGAUAAGCAGAUUUUGAAAAGUGAUACUGCAAGUCAGAAUUAUACUGCUAAAUACUCUAAUUUGUUUUGCAAAGGAGAGUAUCAUGUUUAAAUAGUCAUACC
rnacentral:lncRNA from 10 species